rnacentral:tRNA from 1 species
CGGGGUGUGGCGCAGUCGGUAGCGCGCUACGUUCGGGACGUAGAGGUCGCAGGUUCGAGUCUUGUCACCCCGACAA